UCUAUUGAGUCCAGUGUAUAGCCAACGUGUAACUGAAGAUAUCCAUUACAAAAUAUAAACAAAAAAGCAACAGAAUCACAAGAUCUAUGUUGGCCAAACCCUAUCAGAGAUCACAUUCUUGAGCUUUCUAGGUUACCCAGAAACUCAGUCCGUGAUCAUCUGACCUGCUUUGACCAACCACUGACUUCAACCUUUUUUAUAUUUAGG
rnacentral:lncRNA from 1 species